GGCCCUUUAGCUCAGCGGUUAGAGCGUGCGACUCAUAACCGCCCGAUCGCUGGCUCAAACCCAGCAAGGGCCACCA
rnacentral:tRNA from 4 species